rnacentral:pre_miRNA from 1 species
AUUCUACUCCCUCCGUUGCACAAUACAUGCCUUCUAUUUGUCAAAAUAUAUAUGUAUCUAGAUAUGUUUUAGUAUAUAGGUACAUCCACUUUUGGACAAAUGGAAGUCAAGUUUUUUGGAACGGAGGGAGUACACA